GCUCCCCGCCGAGUCAGCAGAAGUCGGGGGCCGAGUCAGCACCAGUAGUGCUGACUCGCGCCCCCACUUCUGCUGACUCGGCCUCUACG
rnacentral:sRNA from 1 species